UUUAAUGUGGCAGAUUAGUGCGAUGGAUUUAAGAUCCAUUUAUGAAAAUUUAAUUUUCUAUUAAAA
rnacentral:tRNA from 1 species